rnacentral:lncRNA from 1 species
CCACACCCCAGGCUCCCGUGGUGCUCCAACUACCUCCCUUAUAGCUCCCUGUGCUUUGACGUCCCCAUGCCCGGCACACAGUAGGUCCUUGGAGGACCUACUAAUGACACAUGGGCUAUAAGGAAUGUUUCCUGUUUUCUUCUCUCUGUUCCCUCUUUCUAUCUAGGUCUCUUUCUGGACCCCCAUUUCUGUUGUCUCUGUGGCUCUCCAUCUGUGUGUCUCUGUGUGUCUGUCUCUACUUCUUAGUCUCCUCCUCUGUCUCUGUCCAUCUUUUUGUCUCCUCCUCCCACCCCCACCCCUUUGUCUGCCGCCAGGAUUCCAUCCUGGUGACAACAGGCACUAAAGCCGGGAAGCAGGUGUGGGGAGGGGGAGGGGGAGGGUGGGGUGUCAAUUAGGGUGAAACCUACCCUCCCUCCCCACCUCCAUCUAACGCUGAUCUUUUUUGGUAUCCCCCUCCCGCUUCCCAGCCAAGCCAUGACCUUGAGUUCUAGGUUCAAGCCAGCCCUGGAGAGCAGGCUUCCUCACCCUCCCCGCCUCUCCGUACCUCUGUCUCUGGUGGUCUCGGUCUUUGUGUUUCUGUGCAUUUCUCGGGGCCCCUUGCUGGGUCUGUCUUGGGCUCUCUCUGCAUCUGUCGCUUUCUGAGCCCCUCAGUGUGUUUCUCGGCAUGUGUCUCCGGGUGGUUUUGUCUCUGCAUUUCUGUGGGUGUCUCUGCAUGUCUGCCCCUCUCAGCGUUUGUGUCUGUGGGGGCUCACAGUCUCUCUGUGCAUUUCUGUCCACCUAUGACCCCAUUUCUGUCUCUUUUUGGCUCUGGGUCUCUGUGUCUGUGUUCACGUCUCUAUCUUUCUAGUUCUCUCCAUGUCUCUCUUAGUGCCCGCAGUUCCCCCUCUGUGGCUCUCCAUUUCCAUCUCUUAUAGGGUCUCCAUGUCUCUGCACCUUGCUGUGAGUAUAUCUCUGUCUCUCUUUUCUCCUUUCUUUGCACUUCCUUCUAUGCAUCUUGUGGUAUUUUCUCCCUCUCUCUUUGGGUCUUUGCCUGGCUCCUACUCUCUCUACUCCCAACUCAGUCUCUCUGUUGUCGGUCAUGUCUCUCUGCCUGUCUGU